UACGAAGGGGGGCUAGCGUUGUUCGGAAUUACUGGGCGUAAAGGGCGCGUAGGCGGUACUUCAAGUCAGGCGUGAAAGCCCCGGGCUCAACCUGGGAACCGCGCUUGAGACUGGAGAACUAGAGUUCGGGAGAGGAUGGUGGAAUUCCCAGUGUAGAGGUGAAAUUCGUAGAUAUUGGGAAGAACACCGAUGGCGAAAGGCAGCCAUCUGGACCGACACUGACGCUGAGGCGCGAAAGCGUGGGUAGCAAACAGG
rnacentral:rRNA from 1 species